UACGGAGGGCGCAAGCGUUGUUCGGAAUCAUUGGGCGUAAAGCGCGUGUAGGCGGUUUGGUAAGUCGGGUGUGAAAUCCCGGGGCUCAACCCCGGAACUGCAUUCGAAACUGCCUGGCUAGAGUCCCGGAGGGGAGGGCGGAAUUCCCGGUGUAGCGGUGAAAUUCGUAGAUAUCGGGAGGAACACCAGCGGCGAAGGCGGCCCUCUGGACGGUGACUGACGCUGAGACGAGAAAGCGUGGGGAGCAAACAGG
rnacentral:rRNA from 1 species